AGAGAUAUAAUAAUCUCUUUAAUAAAAUGCCUCAACUCGACACUGCAACAUGGAUCUUAACAAGAGAUACUCAUAAUUAUCUCACUAUUUGGCAUCUAUCUGCUUAAAAUAAUGAAUCAAGUAAUUAUCCAAAUUACCCCUUCAAAUGAAAAGAAAAAAGCUACAAAAAGCACCUUACCCUGACAAACAAAAUGAACGAAAAAUUUAUUUGCCCCAUUCGUCACACCAACAAUUAUAGGUAUUACAACCCUACCUAUUAUUAUUAUUAUUAUAUUUCCCUGUGUUAUACUAUCAUCCCCAAAACGAUGACUACCAAACCGAAUUCAAACACUACAAAUCUGACUAAUUCGCUUAAUUACUAAACAAAUAAUGACAAUGCAUAACAAACAAGGACGAACCUGGACCCUAAUACUAAUCUCUUUAAUUCUCUU
rnacentral:lncRNA from 1 species